GGAGGCGCUCAAAGGUUCCCUCAGAAUGGUUGGAAAUCAUUCAUAGAGUGUAAAGGCAUAAGGGAGCUUGACUGCGAGACCUACAAGUCGAGCAGGGUCGAAAGACGGACUUAGUGAUCCGGUGGUUCCGCAUGGAAGGGCCAUCGCUCAACGGAUAAAAGCUACCCCGGGGAUAACAGGCUUAUCUCCCCCAAGAGUUCACAUCGACGGGGAGGUUUGGCACCUCGAUGUCGGCUCAUCGCAUCCUGGGGCUGUAGUCGGUCCCAAGGGUUGGGCUGUUCGCCCAUUAAAGCGGUACGCGAGCUGGGUUCAGAACGUCGUGAGACAGUUCGGUCCCUAUCCGUCGUGGGCGUAGGAAAUUUGAGAGGAGCUGUCCUUAGUACGAGAGGACCGGGAUGGACAUACCUCUGGUGUACCAGUUGUCGUGCCAACGGCAUAGCUGGGUAGCUAUGUGUGGACGGGAUAAGUGCUGAAAGCAUCUAAGCAUGAAGCCCCCCUCAAGAUGAGAUUUCCCAACUUCGGUUAUAAGAUCCCUCAAAGAUGAUGAGGUUAAUAGGUUCGAGGUGGAAGCAUGGUGACAUGUGGAGCUGACGAAUACUAAUCGAUCGAAGACUUAAUCAAAUU
rnacentral:rRNA from 1 species